rnacentral:tRNA from 1 species
AAGAUAUUAGUAAAAAUAUUACAUAACUUUGUCAAGGUUAAAUUACAGAAUAAUAUCUGUAUAUCUUA